rnacentral:rRNA from 1 species
UUGGACAAUGGGCGAAAGCCUGAUCCAGCAAUGCCGCGUGAGUGAAGAAGGCCUUCGGGUUGUAAAGCUCUUUUGUCAGGGAAGAAACGGUGAAGGCUAAUAUCCUUUGCUAAUGACGGUACCUGAAGAAUAAGCACCGGCUAACUACGUGCCAGCAGCCGCGGUAAUA